UGCUACAGCGCCUAAAUACCACCAAGGCACCAGAUCCCACCUGAUCUUAGAAACUAAGCAGGGUCAACCCUGGUUAGUACUUGGGUGGGAGACCACCAGCCACUAUCAUGUGCUGUAGGCU
rnacentral:rRNA from 1 species